CCCUAUUCUGUCUAAGCCCAUGGUCCCUGUCUCAAGAGUGGGUCCUGUUCAGCUGAAGUUCUUAUAAGUUUUCUAGGUAAUUCUAAUACACAAUGAAGAUUGACAACUGUUUUAAAGGAAGAUCUCUUGAAGAAGAUAUGUGAGCUGAGACCUAAAGGAGAAAGAGGGAGCCAGCCUUGGGCAGAGAGGAGGAGAUUGUUCCAGAGAGAGGCAGCAGCAAUUGCAAAGCCCUGAGUUUCAUGAAUACAGAGUGAAGUUGCCUGGAAUUGAAACUGCCCUUGGCCCAGAGCUACAACCUGAUAUAAAGAAACAGAAAUUCUGGAAUAGACACUUAUGAAUCAGGACCAGUACAGAAGAUGAUAGAAGAUUAGGAAGUCACACCUAACCAACAAAAGGCUUUGCUCUGUGUGGAGAAGCACAUGAGGGUGGAAGUCGAAGCUCCCCACUUGUCCUGUUCCGG